UACGUAGGGUGCAAGCGUUGUCCGGAAUUAUUGGGCGUAAAGAGCUCGUAGGCGGUCUGUCGCGUCUGCUGUGAAAACUCAGGGCUUAACCCUGAGCUUGCAGUGGGUACGGGCAGACUAGAGUGCGGUAGGAGAGACUGGAAUUCCUGGUGUAGCGGUGAAAUGCGCAGAUAUCAGGAGGAACACCGGUGGCGAAGGCGGGUCUCUGGGCCGUAACUGACGCUGAGGAGCGAAAGCAUGGGGAGCGAACAGG
rnacentral:rRNA from 1 species